GGUUGGUCUGAGUGCAGUGGUGUUUACAACUAAUUGAUCACAACCAGUUACAGGUUUAUUUAUUUGCUCCUUCUCCACUCCCACUGCUUUAUUUGACUAGCCUUAA
rnacentral:Y_RNA from 1 species